rnacentral:lncRNA from 1 species
GAAUCAUGUGCCAGACUUGAACAGAAACAUCGUAGCACAGGAGCAAACAUUGCUGAGAUGGUUUGGGGAGAGGUUCCUAUUCUGAGGAUGGGUUGGGCACUUUGGGAGGGCUUGAAGGACAGGACAGGGUGGUGCAGAAACACAAUGAAAAACAAAACAAAGCAAAACUGUGCAACAUAGCAUUUCAUAUCAUGAGCUGCAACUUCAUAAGUUUUCCGACCAGAGACCAGGAGUAGAAGUCAGCCCUCCCCUGUGAAGCAGAAGCCCCCAUUUGAAGGGAGCAAGAGGCAGUCCCAAGCAGAAGGCCACAAAGGGUUGGUAUCUGAAGAAAAGGACCUGCCCCUUUCUGUGACAAGGAUCCUCUGGAAAGGCAUUUGUGAUAAACACGGCUGUGUUUCUGCAAUCUGGCUUUUAUCCCUUCAAAGGUUCCUGAGCUAGAGGCAAUUAACAGAGCUGGGGAAGCCAAGAAAGUGCACUGUGAAUAUAAACAGGUUGACAGGACAUUUAUACAGCAGCAUUGAGCAGAGUCCCUGAUCCCCAGGGUGGCGCAGGUCACUGGGAGAGUUUGAGACUGAGAGAUGCCUUCUUUUGUCUUACCACUGGGAUGAGUUUCCUCCACCAGGCAUGAAGGAUCCUGGCUGGGUUCCAGGAAAGACUGGAGGACUGUCUGGGAUUGCAGAGUAGUGAUGGACAAAGGAACCUCCACAUUGCUCCCACCCAGGACCACCAAAGCUCCAUUACAGGGAGCAGAAGUCACCGUCUCACUUUUCCCCCUCAACUUUACUAAGAUGCAAUGGACCAUCUCCAGCCCCUGGUAACCACCAUGUCUUCUUCCACGAGUUUGACUAUUUUAGAUUCCACAUGUGCAAGAGAUCAUACAGAAUCUGUUUUUCUGCAUCUGGCUUCAUUCACUUAACAUAAUGUCCUCCAUGUUUGUCAUGUUGUCACAAAUAGCAAGUCUUUA